GUGAUACUGAAUCUAAUAUAAAAGCAAAUUUGUAUAGAAGAAAUCCAGGGACAGCAGCGGUCAGAAGAUAAUUCACAACUUGAUGAGGUAAACUACCUUGAAUACCCCUGAGAAUGAGAGAGUAAGCAAGGAGACCUCGAGUGGCCAAAGCAGAGAUUUCAGUUAUAUUUACUGGACAAAAUGGACACCAUAAUCAACAGGGAAACACAGGAUGUACUUUGG
rnacentral:lncRNA from 1 species